rnacentral:misc_RNA from 1 species
UUACUCAGUUACUUGUGCUGAAGAGCUCGAUGAACAAGGCGAACCCCUCGGCAGCGGAGCGUGAGGCCCACCUUCAGAAUGUGGAGGACACACUGAACCGCAUUGCUCACCACAAUGGGGUGCUGGGCUACUUUAUCAUGGAGCCGCAGAAGGGGAAGCUGCUUAGUUUUGCAGGCUUUCGGGGGAGCUCCAGAGAGGCGCAUCGCUACGCUGACACGUUGAAGGGGUUCAUCGACCUCACCACCUCCACUGUUCGAACCAUCGACUGGAAAGACGAGAUGACAUUUCUGCGAAUUAGCUGCGACACUGUCGACAUUCUCGUCGCACCGGACGCAAACAAGGAGUACACGAUGGUGGUCGUCCAAACGGUCAAAGGGAGGUGCGCCGGAGGUGACACAUGACGAUAUUGGCGCGCUGACCGUCAAGUUCAUGUACAUAGAGCCCACGACAGCAGUCAAACCAACGCUUUGAAUUGUACGUGGAAGAGCAGCUGACCAUCCUCGAGCGCCUUCCAUGGUGUUUUCCGUAGGUGCGACGUCCACACACGCUGCUGUCCUCGUGCGGGGUGUCGGUGACUUCCUUCCUUCUUGUCCGCCUUGCUCACUACCGCCCUGAUGGGAAAGCCGCCGCCUACUAGUGCCACUAGGGCCUCCUCGUCCCUCUCGUGGAGAACAACAAGCCAUAUGGUAACUCUCUCCGUGUCUGCUCUCUCCCUCCCUCUUGGUAG